rnacentral:rRNA from 1 species
UACACAUGCAGUCGAGCGGAUGAAGGGAGCUUNUCNNGGAUUCAGCGGCGGACGGGUGAGUNAUGCUUAGGAAUCUGCCUAUUAGUGGGGGACAACAUUUCGAAAGGGAUGCUAAUACCGCAUACGCCCUACGGGGGAAAGCAGGGGAUCUUCGGACCUUGCGCUAAUAGAUGAGCCUAAGUCAGAUUAGCUAGUUGGUGGGGUAAAGGCCUACCAAGGCGACGAUCUGUAGCGGGUCUGAGAGGAUGAUCCGCCACACUGGGACUGAGACACGGCCCAGACUCCUACGGGAGGCAGCAGUGGGGAAUAUUGGACAAUGGGGGGAACCCUGAUCCAGCCAUGCCGCGUGUGUGAAGAAGGCCUUUUGGUUGUAAAGCACUUUAAGCGAGGAGGAGGCUCUUCUAGUUAAUACCUAGGAUGAGUGGACGUUACUCGCAGAAUAAGC